AAUGCAACAGCUGUUCAGGAAGUACAGCUAUAUCGCAGACUGAAAUUUUAAAUGUUGCAGAUAUUAUUGUCUUUCAGUUGCGGUAAGACAAACAGUGGUUUUAUUAUUUCAAGAAUCAAAGAAUGAACCGUAUAUGUACUGUUUUGUUUGGGUUGUUUGUUUUUUAGAUUUUUUAGGAAAGUUUUCUGGUUCCAUAUUAGAUUUAAAAAAAAAACAACCAAUUGACCAAAUCAUACCUGGAAACUCGGGCACAUUAUUUUGUUUUCAUAUGGAUGGCAAGAAAAUUAAUAGAAUUGACUUUCUUUCAUACUAAUACCUUUGACCUGUGCUCCAAGCCUACUCUCCAUUUCAGUUCCUGCCCUAUAUUUUCAUUAUUGAAUUCAUUUACCAUUUUUAAGCCUCUACUCAGUCAAAUCCACCUUAGUGUGUUUAAAUCCAAUUCAUCCUUCAAGAAUACUUAUACGCCACCCCCGACAUGAAGCUUUCCCUAAUUCCCCACCCUAACCUCACCACCAAGCCACAGUUAAUCUCUCUUCUAUAUGCCUCAUAGCUCUGUCUUCAUCUGUAUUAGGGCAGUUAUUAGUAUUCCUGUAUAGUAUUCCUGUACUAUCUCCCAUUACAAUGCAGCUUCUCCAGGUCAGAGAUUGUCCAUAUUUCUCUGCACAGGUAAAAUACUUGGUAAAUAGUCAUUCUUGUUAAUGACAAAAACUAAAUCUUCCAACUGUAUUGUUUUAUAAACAUUUGUGUGAUGUGUCUUUUAAUAAAAGAUGAAGAUUUGAGUGUCAUUUCCCAAAACAGUGGUGUUAAAAUACAUUAGCAUGUCAAAUUAUUUAGCACUUGGCAUAUUAUCAGGUGAAACGUGCUCAUCUGAAGACUUUAACUUUUAACCAUAAUAAGUUUAAAGUGAAGAGUUUCGGUCUUUUGUGUUGUUUGUUUGAUUUUGAUUAGGUUUGGUUUUUUAAGCAGAAUUUCUUGUCUAACUGUCAAAUGUUGGUCCCUGUAAAGUUGAAAUCUCACUCUAUGAUAAAGUGAAGACAUGGUUCCAUUGUCUUGGAAAGUUUAAACAAAAUUUCCAGACCCCAAAAUAGGCCACUUAACUCUUUAUUGAACAACGCUAAUAACUAAAUUGCUUUCUGGAAUCAAGGGUAUCAAAAAUCAAAGAGAGAGAAUGCAAGCAAUGUAUAAACCAAUGUGUGUUUGGAUGUCUUUUGAUAUUGCUGUGAUGUACUUUAAAUCAUGAUUUCAAAUUCAUUGAUUCUUCAUUUCCAAAAAGUAAAAUUUCCUAAAUUCUGAUUAUUUUGAUAAAUUUUCUUGUUAUUUUACUUUCUAGUUACGUAUUAUUCUUUUAGUUCUAAGCCAUAUUUUAAGAUAUGUGAGAACAAAUAAAUUGUGCAUGAACAUUUCCCAUCAAGUGGCAGCUUCAAAAAUUAAUAUCUAGCAACUAAUUUUCUCUCUCUUCUCCACCAGUUUUCAUUAUGUAACUUGUUUAAUGAAGAUCCUAAAGCUUAAAAAAUACAUAUCAUUUUCCAAUAAAUAGGUCAGUUAUAUCAAAGCCUUUUUGAAACACUCAAGCGUAGAAUAUUCACUACAUUUACUUGUAUGACUAUGAAUGACAUUAACACACUGAAAAUCUUUAAGUUCCUUAAAGAAGUUUUUUCUCAUAAAUUCACCCUGGCUGUCUAACCAAAUUACAUUUUCAAGAAAGUAUGUCCUCUGAAAUUGCUUAUAGUAUGUACCUCACACACAAAGUUACCUAUCUUAGUUACUCUGGUUGCCAGCAGAGUGAUUCACUUUCAAUAACAGUAUUUUGUUUGUAAUUUUCUAGGAACUACAGCCCUUUACUCAUCAAGCAACAGUAAACCAAAACUGCCAACAUUGUUUACCAUGUUGAAAAAUUAAAAUUAUCUUCAUGAAUAGUGCUCAAAUGCUGGCACAUGGCUAAAUGAAUCAUCUUUGUCUUAAAGCAAAAAGGUGACAAAGCCUAUGAGGACUCUGGAUUACUUGGAAUAAAGAAAAACAAGGAAGAGAAAGCUAAAUAACAGACUGAAAAGAGGAGAAAAACUAACCUAAAAUUCCACCGAUGGAUUGCAUCAUAACUCCAACACUAACUAGAACAUAUGGAACAUAGAAGACACUUACAAGUAUUUAAUUCAAAAUACUACUUACCUAAAGAAAGCACAAUAUGACAGAGCCACAAGAAGUAUGGAUAACAGACUGUAGCCACAGGGAAGUUAGAAACUAAGAUCAUCAACAGGAGAAAGGGAGAUGCAAAAGUCUGGAGGAGGUUUAAGUCAUCUGCUAAGAAGUUGUUUAGUAAAUCAACAAAAGAUACUGGUUUCUAUUAAGUCAUCUCUUUUAUUAAAGAAGAAAAUACAACUGUUGCUGUAUAUUAUUAAUUUAUGGAGGAUUAGAAGCAAGAGCCCUUCUCUUCUCAAAAGCCGGGGUUGGGGUAGGGGGGAUGGUCGCCAUAUUUUUACAUAAGAGUGGUACAAACAAACUUUCUAGAUUAAAUAUUACUUUACACAUUUGUAAGUUUUAUUUUGGCUUUUGAAUACUGUAUCGCCCGGAGGGGGGGAAGAAAUCUUGCUGUUUUCGAAAGCUAAAGAGAACAUCAACCAGAGACAAUAGCCAUCCAGAAGGCUCAAUUCCAUAGUAUCUAGAGCAAAGCAAAUUAAGGUCUCCACUCGCAGUCACAGAAAUGGACUCCCUGCUUUCCGCUGAAUUCUGCGUAUGUGUAUCUAAAUAACUAGCUGGCCUGCUCCUUCCUGGUAUUAGCUGUGAUUGAGAGAUAACUCACCCGGCGGCGGUGGCGGCGGCAGUUUUUGUGCGCGCAGUAGCACAUGCUCUUGUGAGCAUCAAAAGGAGAUGAAGCCUGAUUAACCAUUUUGAAAUCUAUCGGAUGAGGAGAAGUCCUUACAAAACAACUUUUAUACGCUUUAAUUAAAAACGUGUUCCGGCAGCUCAGAGCUGAAUGGGCUUCAGGGGGAGCAGGGCUGAGCCGGUUGCUAUGACGACACCAAAUCUUUUCACGCCUGGCCCUUCCCCAGCACACUCUGUCUAGCUCUGUCCAGCCAUUAAUUUGCCUCCAUCCCAUCUCUCACUGCCCCAAUCCCUUGGUCUGGGAGACUAUGGAAGACCCAGUACCAUCUACUUUUUCUGGUAUGGCAUCUCUCCCUCACUCCCUUUCCCUCAUCAUUUCAUGCCUUAUAUUUCUCUGCCAAUCUCUAUUUUCUUGUUUCUCUUCAAAACAAGUUUACCCCCCUCAGUUGAAAAAAAAAUUUUUUUUAAAUGGGAGAGGGGGGUCACAGCAUAGUAAUUACUGCUUAUUACCCCUCAUGAUAAAUCCAGUUUUAGGGAUCUUGAGUAGAGUCAAGAAGGAUCUCACUAUGUUCUACCCUUUUUUUUUUUUCAGGCUUAAGACUGGCUACUACACCACUCUUUCUGAUGCUGAAGAUAAAAAGGACUAUGUUUCACUCUGUUUUAAAGUUAAUUUGUGCGUAUUAAGAUCUCAGGUUAUUCCACAAACAACUGGUAUUUGUAUCAACUGGUAACAAUUGUAAGUGACCGUAAGACUUUGAAAUACUCUGAAACAUUGCAGACCUCACUUUAUGUAAGAAGGCUCUUUGAACAUUUUUAAAGUAGCACUUUUUAUACAGAGACUUAAAUAAAACCCAGUGCUAUCACUUACUGUACCAUAAUGAAACAAAAAUCGGGUGGAACUUGCCCAUCACAGAACCUAACUUGAGAGAAUCUGGUAUCUUUACAAUCUUGUAGUCAGUGCAUUUAUAGACUAUAAUUAUUAAACA